AUGAAUCCUCAAGGCUAUUGGUGCAGCCGAAAGGCAACGAGCGACCGAGUCCACACCCGGACGAAGAGUCACACGCAGCCGAGUCUACAUCACAACAAUGGCACCGUCGGCGAAGCCGAAGGGCAUCAAGUAGCCGAGUCUACACCUGGAUCACUUCACCGUGCACACCAGCGCAGGCCGGCCGCGCCACCACCACCACAACACACACCACCGUCGACCCAAGUCGGCCGCACAACCACACCACCAGAUGCAGCACCACCACAGACCGCAAGCCAGCCAAACACCACCCAAACCUCAGGUAAGCAACAUGGAGCAACGUCUCUGAAGACAGGCACCACCAAGGUGGUAACGACGUGGUGGACGCCGCUGCCGUCCGAUCCAGGAGCUGGAUCUAAGGCUUUCACCCGGAGAACGAACAGAGUAGGCAAAGGAACCAAUGCAUCACACAACGGUACCUCCAGGGAGGGAUCCGACGCUGCAGAGCGCCGCUACCGCCGAUGCCGAUCGAAGCCGACAUAG
rnacentral:rRNA from 1 species